CCUCCUUACCAUUACGUCGAAAGACGCACUUGAUGCAGUGCCUACACAGAUAGUCUUGUUUAUAUUUAAAGAUGACUUAAAUAAAAGCCCUUAGCUUUGAUUUAAGAUCAAACCUAAGUGUUUUGAAUUAAGCACUAUGUUCUUUAACAAUUUGGAAAGCUGAUAUUAAUAGUAAUCAAUCAAAAUUGAGUAACUGAGAAGUCNAAAGACGUACUUUUUUACUCUACUNGACUUGAAUUGCUUGUNAUCAACAUGGAUUGA
rnacentral:misc_RNA from 1 species